rnacentral:rRNA from 1 species
UUGAACGCUGGCGGCAUGCCUUACACAUGCAAGUCGAACGGCAGCACGGAGCUUGCUCUGGUGGCGAGUGGCGAACGGGUGAGUAAUAUAUCGGAACGUACCCUGGAGUGGGGGAUAACGUAGCGAAAGUUACGCUAAUACCGCAUACGAUCUACGGAUGAAAGUGGGGGAUCGCAAGACCUCAUGCUCGUGGAGCGGCCGAUAUCUGAUUAGCUAGUUGGUAGGGUAAAAGCCUACCAAGGCAUCGAUCAGUAGCUGGUCUGAGAGGACGACCAGCCACACUGGAACUGAGACACGGUCCAGACUCCUACGGGAGGCAGCAGUGGGGAAUUUUGGACAAUGGGCGAAAGCCUGAUCCAGCAAUGCCGCGUGAGUGAAGAAGG